GGUGGCGCGGGCCGCGCGGGCGCCGGGCGCGGGGCGCGGGGCUGACAGCCGCGGCGCGGGAGGCGGGGCGCGAGGAGGGCGGAGGCGCGGCGCGGGGAGGGAGGAGCUGCCCGCGCGCCCGCCGCCGCCGCUCGACUCCACACCCGCCGGCGCAGCCCCGCCACGAGACUCUGACAGCGCGCGGCCAGCGCUGCUCGGGCGCACAGGCACGGACGGACCGCGGCGGCGGCGGAGGAGGACGCGAGGACCUCGGCCCCGCGCCAAGUGCGGGAGACGCGCGGGGCUGGCGGCGCGCAGAGAUAAGAAUCGGUGUCUUCACAGCUGUGCUGGGGGCUCUUGUAGAAGAAUGCAAGAUCUGACAUCAUCAUGACAGUCCAGGGUUACCUUCUGACAGCACCUUUUCACUUUCAUCGCAUGCUAAUGUCAUGGCCAUCCCCACGUGGAUGGCCGUGCCCCACUGGAAGAAAACCACCACCCAACUGCAUGGUGGGUAUUAGUGUGAACCCUGACCUGUGUGGAGGGGUCCUGCAGAUCUUCUUGGAACUUCGGCAGCUCUGGGAGUUUUAAGAUAGAAGGAUUUCCUGGAUCCUGUGUGUGCACUUUUUCUCAGGCAAGGCCCUCCAUUCGCACAAAAUGAGGUACACCCUAGAAAUCUUACAGAGCAGAACUUAAGAAUCUGCAAAAGUGGGGUUACUUGGC
rnacentral:lncRNA from 1 species